rnacentral:misc_RNA from 1 species
CAAAUAUAAAUUCCUAUUUACCAACGAAGAGAGAUUUGAUCCAGGGAAACAAACACAAUUACAGAUCACUAAAGGUGGUUUCAAAUGCGUAAUUGCCGAGUGAUCUCAAGAAAUAUAGAGGGCACUGUGCAUUAUCUAAGUGCGAGAUUAUAAAAAUAUUGAUGAAUGGAAUGAACAUAUAUCUCAGGUAGUACAUCACCUGUCAUGCCUAUUUACACGAUUGUGGCUCAAAAAAACCACAAACUUAACACUAUAGUACAGUCUUGCGACCCAUAUCUCCUUCCUUUUUGAUUCUUUAUUCACUUGGUGAGACAGCUAUGUCAAUACAUGAAAGAUAAUUUCAGCUGCGGCGCCAUCAAUUCGCGCCAGGUCAUGUAAUGUCUCUGCAAGGCAUCUGUAGAACAAAAACAUCAUAUCCACCUCAGGGUCACGGAAAAGCAUGUUAUGAGCUGGAUAGCCAUCUGUGGAACUUCUGUACUCUUUUCGAAAUAUUAACCUGGUCAUGGCAUGAACUGCUCUGUUGUAAAGUUUUCCUUUUCCUUUUGGUUCGAAACAAAAAAUCUUCUGUAUCUAAAACAUAGGAUACUUUGGAGGAAUUGCAUGCAAUCUUGCACUCUAGACCAUUAAAAACUUGAAAUCCUUCUGUGGCCUCGCAUUCAUCACAACUCACACAUCUGUUUUUAUUCCUUUUCAGGAAU